UGGCCGUAUACACCAACAACUGACAAGAUUGUUGUAAUCUCUCUGAACACCAUGUGGCAUCCCAAAACCACUUGCAAGUCUGAAUAUGUCAGUGAUCAAAUGAGACUUACCGCUUUCAUCAAGAAAAAGCAUAGAUUGAAUUUCCUAGACUUAUCUUCAUGUUUUAAAAGAUCUUCAUUCAAAUCCUUUAGGGUAGAGUGCUAUCAUUAAAGGUGAGUGAUUUUCAUUUGAAUAGAUCAAUCAACGGACUUGUUAGGAGAAAAAAAAUGUACAUCAUGAUUGCUUCUGAUUUUAGUAAUUCUAAAUCGUCUGUUAUCGGACAUAGUGAAUCCUCUUUCUCUUCACAUCCUGCAGUUCGUAGGCUUUGUCUAAUAAUUUUUUUUAACUUUCAAGUUUGUAUCUGAUAAUUUGUAAAAUUCACACUCUUUGUUGGGGGAUAAAGGAAUAGUGGUGUUGCAAUUUGAUAUUCGUGUUUUUCAUUAUGCUAUAAAAUUGGCUAGCUUUUUUCUAACUUUUUAGUAUUCUUUUAAUUGUUUCUUAAUGACUGAUUUUUUGUUUCAAGGGCAUAAUUAUCAUCAUCAUUCAUAGACUGAAUGAGAACAGACUACUAUUUAUUUUCUUUAUAAUCUUGGAAGGAGGGGAGGGAUAGCUGCUUUUGAAGAAUAGGUUUCUUGGCUAAUGCAAGUUGUUUAGGACUUCUCAUUUUAGUACUGAAUAUAAUACAAUGAUAAUCCAUGAUCUAGCUUAACUAGCUGGAUGGUGAUAUUCUUUUUAUGUUUCAUUUUAGUGGAUGAUAUGCUCAUUCUGUUAGGUAAUUGAACUCAUGCAACUUCGGAGUGUGUGUAGUGGAUUGGGUAGGAAGGGACUGUUAUCCUUCCAUUUGAAGACCUAUUUAGAUUGCUUCGAGGUCAAUGAGCUGAUAUUGUCUUUAGCACUUUCAUGUAGCAACCUCUUUAUCUAUGAUGUGCUUAUUUUCAAGUACGCAACAUAGUGAAUGACUGUUUUUUAUUUUUUUCAUACUGUAUUACCUUGAUCGAGCCUUUCAUCCCGUAAUUAGAUAAACACAUAGGGGUCGUUUGGUAGGGAACAAGUUAUUCUGAGGUCAGCUAUUUCGAAAUUAGUUAUACCACUAUAUAUAUGAGAUAACUUGUUCCAUCACUAACACAUAAAUGAUGGGAUAAAUAAUUCUUUGACUACCUAAUACCUCCAAUCAAACAUGAAAUAAAACAAUUCUACGUUUUAUCCUGAGACUAUCAUAAAUUAAACCUCACAAACGACCCCAUAGUAUAUACCUGUCUAGGUUAAUUCUUAUCUACGUCUUUCAUGACCUUCAACUGUUGAGUUUAUUCAUCUACACUUUGGUUACUGGGUUGUACUAAGGUUAAUCUCACAUUUUUACUUUACGUAAUAGGUCUCAAUCUUAUAGUUAAAGAUCUCACUAAUAAACUUGCUUAGUAGAGAGCUUUCCCUUCAUUAUCUUUCUAAGAAGUUCCUGUGUCGUUACUCUUUUUACGCAUUUCACGACUGAUUCUACUUAUGUGUGUUCUAUUUUAAAUAUUUGGCGUCAAAUCUCUUAGUUUUGUCCAGAUUGUCCACAGGAGGUUCUCUAAUAGGCUGCAUAAUUUCAAUUUCACAAGCUUUCAAAAAAAAAAAAAUUGCUGCUGAAAAAGACUAAUAUCUUGACUAUAAGAGGUAAUUUUUGUGCUUUUAUGACUUUAGUCAUCAUGCAAAAUAUUUGUACUUUUUCCGUGAGUUCAGUUAUAAUGUAAAAUAGUUCUACUUUAUAUUUUAUCGUAUACUAUAAGAUGUGUGCUGUAGGAAUAAAUUAAAUUUUGUGUGUAAAAAAAAAAAAAAAAAAAAAAAAAAGAGUUAAUAACUUAAAUGGUCACUCAAUUUCGAACUUUUAUCCCAAAAAGUCACUUAAUUUUGAACUUUAUUCAGAAAGUCACUAAACUUUACAUGUUUUUACUCAGAAAGUCACCCAACCUAUUUAUUAUUUUUUUAACUAAUUUUUGUUUAUGUGAAAGUUUUUUGUAAUAACAAAAUUCUGAAAAAUAUAAAAUAUCCAUUUAAUGGCCUUUUUACCCUUUCUAUUAUAGUUAAAUGGAUAUUUUAUAUUCUUUACAAUUUUAUUAUUAAAAAAAUUUCACAUAAACAAAAAUUAGUUUAAAAAAUAAUAAAAUGAGUUGGGUGACUUUCUGAGUAAAACAUGUAAAAUUGAGUGACUUUCUGAGUAAAUCUCAAGAUUAAGUGACUUUCUGGGAUAAAAAUCUAAAAUUAAGUAACCGUUUAGGUUAUUAACUCUACAAAAAUUAAAUUGCUUCAUAAUUAAUGUCCAACCAAUAAGGAAAGAUGGAUGACAUCUAAAUUGAACAUACAAGGGUACACACAUAUCUUUGUGCCAACAAUAUUAAAAAAAAUAAUCUUAGGCAUCGUAUUGUCUAUAAAAAAAAAUGUCACCUGAAAAAAAAAAAUGGCACUUCUAGAUCGAUAUUGAGUAGAAUAUGCUUUGAGAAUGUGUACUCUCUUCGAAAGUUCUUACGCCAACCAUUCUAAUUAAAUUUAUCCUUCUUCGGAACCUAAACGCAUAUGUAUUGAAUUUCAAAUGAGAGAGCCUCUCAAGACGCCUAGUUAUCUAUUACUUUCAGCUGGUGUGGGUGGCUUUGAAUAUUGGAAGUUGUAUUAGAAGUUAGUAAAAGUACAUUGGGACUCUUAUGUGCGGAGAAAUGCUAUGGUAAUUAGUUGAAGUUUGUCUUGACGAGUUUUUUUCACACAAAAAAUGAUGUAAUGUGCUGUAAUUCGUGGUUUAGUCAUAAUGUUUGAUAUUUAACCUCCAAUGAAUUAUUAAUUGAUGGGCAAGUUUAUUUUAUAUUAUUUUAAUAACUUUCAAUUUUGAAGUUUCUAUGAAUACAUGCAUAAAAUAUGUUGCAUAUAAAUAUAAGAUCAAAAUUUAAUUAAAUUUCUUUACGAAAGGAUCGAGCAUUUAAGCAGAUCAAUCAACCAAGUGGCUUGCCUCAAUAUCAAGUCCUAUUUUUGCUUCAUUUACCGAAAGAAUUUUUUAUCAACUUUUGAUUGUUUUUCUCAAAAUUUUCUUUUGGGUUAAAUAUUUGUAGGUGUCCAAAGGAGUUCUGAGUGAACAAUAUUAGAGUUCUUAUGCAGCUUCUAUAAUUAUGGUGUUUUCGUGCUUCCUCCUCUUCACGUAAUAAACUCAUACAGAAAAAAAAGUGAUGAAUUUCUUUUCCAAGACUACUUAUAAGAAUCAGAUAACUAUUUUUAUGGUAAAUUUGUAAAUUUUCAUUCGCUUUAUGCUGAACUGUUUUGAGAUUCUGCUUCACAAUGUUUCUUAAUUUACUCCUUGAUAUCUAGUACUUUAAAAUAUUUAUAGUUUGGUCUUUGAUUAAUCAACU
rnacentral:lncRNA from 1 species